GAAUCGUGUAGAGAGAGAAAUCUGAGUGGAUGUUUUGAAGAAAAGAUUGCUUCGAGAGCUAGAAUUUAAGAAUUAUCUGGCCACAGAUCUUAUCUGCAAGGCAUUGCAUGUGGACAUGGACACAGAGCACUGGGAUUGGUAUCAUAGCCUCUGUUCAAUUUUGAUCAUGUAUGGGUUGAGGUCUACAUUUCUGGAGUGUAAUGCUGAAGCAAUUCAUUAUAUUGGUAUGGGGAUGUUCAAACAGGUGGGUUAUUAUUGUCUACUUCAAUCCUGGAGUACAGAUCAGAAGGGUACCACUCUUGCCAUUUUCUAAUGGUAACUACUUUAAUGUGUCACAGAAUGAUGACGAGAUCGCUUUACUAGCAGCCAAGGCCUGUAUGGCUUUAGAUCCAGAGAAUGAAUCAUGCAAAGCUUUUCAUUUUCUAGUCAAGGAGAAGAUGAACAGGGCUGCAAGUGGCAGUAGGCGAAUGCUUCAAACGCAACUUCCAUAUCCCCGACUUGGCAUCUGUUAACUGGAGAAACCCGUCUGUGAUGUCUGUAACAUAACGUCUCACGGUUACUUUUGAGAAUUGGUACUCAGUCAUGACUGGAUAAUCUUGUAGUGAUGCUGGUGCUAUGAGGUAGGCAGGUAGCACGGUUGCUUUUACCUUUUGGCCUAAGCUGCUAGAUUGUAAGCUGCCUGAGAUGAGCGGCAGUUUGCCUGGAUGUUUUCCCCCUGUGAAAUGCGAAAAAU